rnacentral:rRNA from 1 species
AAAUUGAAGAGUUUGAUCAUGGCUCAGAUUGAACGCUGGCGGCAGGCCUAACACAUGCAAGUCGAGCGGUAGCACAGAGAGCUUGCUCUCGGGUGACGAGCGGCGGACGGGUGAGUAAUGUCUGGGAAACUGCCUGAUGGAGGGGGAUAACUACUGGA